UACGUAGGCAGCGAGCGUUGUUCGGAGUUACUGGGCGUAAAGGGUGUGUAGGCGGUUUUCUAAGUUUGGUGUGAAAUCUCCCGGCUUAACCGGGAGGGUGCGCCGAAAACUGGGAGACUAGAGUGCGGGAUGGGAGAGUAGAAUUCCUGGUGUAGCGGUGAAAUGCGUAGAUAUCGGGAGGAACACCGGUGGCGAAGGCGGAUCUCUGGGCCAUUACUGACGCUGAGGAGCGAAAGCGUGGGGAGCGAACAGG
rnacentral:rRNA from 1 species